AUGAUAAAAACGAGUCAUAAAUCUUCAGUAACAACCGGUACCAAUAAAAAAUCACUUAAAGAUAGACUUCAGAAAAGUCUGUCUUUGAUAAAAGUUGAUAAUGACUGCAAGAAAAUAAGACUGAAUAAUUUAAGCAGAAAAAAAACAUUUCUGAAACAGUAUCAAUCAACGAUUUAUAGAAUUAGUGAUAAUUCAGAGACCCAAUGUGCUGGCUAUGAAAACACAUCUUUGGAGCCACCCCGACAUUCACAUCAGACAAGACCUCCUCCAUUCUGCUCCCAGCCAGUGACUGAGCACUGGGCAGAUGCAGCUGGAACAGAUGCCACAUCUGACUUGCUUAACAAACUUCCUCUCUGUUCACAAGUAAUAGGUAGGUAAAGAAAUAUAUUAUGAUUCACCUUGAUGUAACACAGAGUCACUUUGUGAUUUGAAAAAGUUGCAGAUACAUAUACAGGAAAUUGACUUAUCCAAAAGGCACCAAAAUCCAUAAAAUAUUAAAUGAAAACUGACUUGAGAAACCACCAGAAAUUACCUAUCUCUGGUGUCCCCUUCUCAGAAAAAUUUCACCACUUUUGCUGUCUUGUUUCUACCAAGAGCCCACACCUAACUGGACCAGUGAUUGACCUAAGGAGAGUCCAUCUACUACACGAAUUGAGAAAACUAAAUGUCUUCUCUUGAAAAUAUGUAUUAGGGAACACACAGUGAGAUCACAGCUUGCACCGGGGCCAUAUAACCUUAGGGCAUGAUAACCCAUGUUCAGGCAAGACAAACUCAUGUAGAUAAAGAGAUAGAUGUAAAGAAAAUAAGAGAAUGAGAGAGACUGUGCCACACCUGAGAUUGGAAGAAGCAAAGGAUAAGUAUCCCUUGAGAGAAGUAGAAAUUGACUUUAAUUAGACUAGAUUUUACUAACAUUAAUUAGUUUUACUUUUCAAUUAUUCCUUUCAAAUGUGCCCUACUCAUUCCUUCUUUCCUUUGCUUUUAGAAAGGCUCUCUAAGUUUUUGGUAACUGUUGUGGUUAAAGUUUAGUUCCACCUACUGUAAUACUCAAAUCUCAUACCUGAUUCUCAGUAUUUGUUCCCCACCUUGCCCCUCUCAUGUUUACCCCUCUAGUCUCUUACUUCUCUUGUGGCUAUGAGAUCAAGAGGAAGGACAUAAACAUUAAGGUGUUUGUCCCACUUAACUUGGCAAUAUUAUCUCUGGUGUAAGUAUCCCUAGAUAUUUACUGCAGUCUGAUUCCAUCUGAUGCUGGAUGUACCUGAGAAAAUGAUAGUUGUGAUUUUCCUAGAAUGGGCUUUACCUUGAUCUUAGAUCCCGUUGGUGUUUCCCCAGACAGAGGUAGCUCUUUUCCUCUGUGAUCCCUUUUUUAAUUUUCAUAUUUGGUAUCCCAUUGCUUUGCCUAGUAGCUGGGCAGGUCUUCUGCCACUAUAUUAAUCCACUUCCUCUUUCAAUCAAUUAUCCAACAACUGCUGAGAUAUUCUCUCUCUCCACCUGUUGGUAAAAGAGAACUAAGAUACAAUAGAGGUAGACCCCAUCAUUUUUCUAAAUAUGUGUCAUCAUGCUGCCUCUUAGCCCUAAUAUAAUGAGAUAUUCCAGAUGAUCCUUGGCCGGCUGAAAUUUUUAGACAAUAAAUGGACAACACCCCAAACCCA
rnacentral:lncRNA from 13 species